rnacentral:rRNA from 1 species
AGCGAGAACAGCACAGCUUCUAGUCAUCAUAAAUAAGGUAUCUAACCUUGAAUACAUAGGGGUUAGAAGCGAACCUGGGGAACUGAAACAUCUAAGUACCCAGAGGAAAGGACAUCAAACGAGACUCCGCUAGUAGUGGCGAGCGACGGACCAGGCCAGUGGCUUUUGUGAAUAAGUGGAACGAGUUGGAAAACUCGACCGAAGUGGGUGAUAGUCCCGUACACGUAGAAUAGCAGAAGUCCUUGAGUAGGGCGGGACACGUGAAAUCCUGUCUGAACAUGGGUCGACCACGAUCCAAGCCUAAGUACUCGUGCAUGACCGAUAGCGAACCAGUACCGUGAGGGAAAGGUGAAAAGCACCCCGACGAGGGGAGUGAAACAGUACCUGAAACCGGAUGCCUACAAACAGUUGGAGCCCAAGGUUUGUCCUGGGUGACAGCGUACCUUUUGUAUAAUGGGUCAGCGACUUAGUGUAUCGAGCAAGCUUAAGCCGGUAGGUGUAGGCGCAGCGAAAGCGAGUCUGAACAGGGCGUUCAGUUCGAUGCAUUAGACCCGAAACCAAGUGAUCUAGCCAUGAGCAGGUUGAAGGUACGGUAACACGUACUGGAGGACCGAACCCAUAUCUGUUGCAAUAGAUCGGGAUGACUUGUGGCUAGGGGUGAAAGGCCAAUCAAACUUGGAGAUAGCUGGUUCUCCGCGAAAUCUAUUUAGGUAGAGCGUCGACCGAAUACCCCCGGGGGUAGAGCACUGGAUGGGCUAUGGGGACUCACCGUCUUACUGAUCCUAACCAAACUCCGAAUACCGGGGAGUACUAGUCGGCAGACACACGGCGGGUGCUAACGUCCGUCGUGGAGAGGGCAACAACCCUGACCACCAUCUAAGGUCCCUAAGUUAUGGCUAAGUGGGAAAGGAUGUGAGGAUCCCAAAACAACCAGGAUGUUGGCUUAGAAGCAGCCAUCAUUUAAAGAAAGCGUAACAGCUCACUGGUCUAAAUAAGGGUCUUUGCGCCGAAAAUGUACCGGGGCUCAAGCCAUACACCGAAGCUGUGGAUGCACGUAUGUGCGUGGUAGCGGAGCGUUCCGUAAGCCUGUGAAGGGACAGUCGUGAGACAUCCUGGAGGUAUCGGAAGUGAGAAUGCUGACAUGAGUAACGAUAAAGGGAGUGAGAGACUCCCUCGCCGAAAGUCCAAGGGUUCCUGCUUAAAGUUAAUCUGAGCAGGGUUAGCCGGCCCCUAAGGCGAGGCCGAAAGGCGUAGUCGAUGGGAACCACGUUAAUAUUCGUGGGCCUGCAGGUGGUGACGG